UUGAUGCCAUGCUUCCAAGAAAAGCUUCUAAGCUUCAGGUAACCAGGAACCGUACCCCAAACCGACACAGGUGGUUGGGUAGAGAAUACCAAGGCGCUUGAGAGAACUCGGGUGAAGGAACUAGGCAAAAUGGCACCGUAACUUCGGGAGAAGGUGCGCCGGUGAGGGUCAAGCAUUUACUGCGUAAGCCCAUGCCGGUCGAAGAUACCAGGCCGCUGCGACUGUUUAUUAAAAACACAGCACUCUGCAAACACGAAAGUGGACGUAUAGGGUGUGACGCCUGCCCGGUGCCGGAAGGUUAAUUGAUGGGGUUAGCUAACGCGAAGCUCUUGAUCGAAGCCCCGGUAAACGGCGGCCGUAACUAUAACGGUCCUAAGGUAGCGAAAUUCCUUGUCGGGUAAGUUCCGACCUGCACGAAUGGCGUAACGAUGGCGGCGCUGUCUCCACCCGAGACUCAGUGAAAUUGAAAUCGCUGUGAAGAUGCAGUGUAUCCGCGGCUAGACGGAAAGACCCCGUGAACCUUUACUAUAGCUUUGCACUGGACUUUGAAUUUGCUUGUGUAGGAUAGGUGGGAGGCUUUGAAGCGUGGACGCCAGUUCGCGUGGAGCCAUCCUUGAAAUACCACCCUGGCAACUUUGAGGUUCUAACUCAGGUCCGUUAUCCGGAUCGAGGACAGUGUAUGGUGGGUAGUUUGACUGGGGCGGUCUCCUCCUAAAGAGUAACGGAGGAGUACGAAGGUGCGCUCAGACCGGUCGGAAAUCGGUCGUAGAGUAUAAAGGCAAAAGCGCGCUUGACUGCGAGACAGACACGUCGAGCAGGUACGAAAGUAGGUCUUAGUGAUCCGGUGGUUCUGUAUGGAAGGGCCAUCGCUCAACGGAUAAAAGGUACUCCGGGGAUAACAGGCUGAUACCGCCCAAGAGUUCAUAUCGACGGCGGUGUUUGGCACCUCGAUGUCGGCUCAUCACAUCCUGGGGCUGAAGCCGGUCCCAAGGGUAUGGCUGUUCGCCAUUUAAAGUGGUACGCGAGCUGGGUUUAGAACGUCGUGAGACAGUUCGGUCCCUAUCUGCCGUGGACGUUUGAGAUUUGAGAGGGGCUGCUCCUAGUACGAGAGGACCGGAGUGGACGAACCUCUGGUGUUCCGGUUGUCACGCCAGUGGCAUUGCCGGGUAGCUAUGUUCGGGAAAGAUAACCGCUGAAAGCAUCUAAGCGGGAAACUUGCCUCAAGAUGAGAUCUCACUGGAACCUUGAGUUCCCUAAAGGGCCGUCGAAGACUACGACGUUGAUAGGUUGGGUGUGUAAGCGCUGUGAGGCGUUGAGCUAACCAAUACUAAUUGCCCGUGAGGCUUGACCAU
rnacentral:rRNA from 1 species